rnacentral:lncRNA from 1 species
CCAUCAACUUAUAUAUGGGAUGAAACUUCACCUCAAGAAUUUCAAACUGCCUUAUCAUCAAAUAAAAUACAAAAUAAAAUAAAAGAAGUUAAAGAUAAUGUUUAUAAUAAUAUGGAUAAUUUUGUUUCUGAUUUAAAUUCCAUCAUAACAGAAGCAGCUGACAUCUCGCUUAAACUAAAACGCACAAAAAAGAAAAACCCAAAACAUUUAAAUAAUAUAAGAC